rnacentral:snoRNA from 1 species
GCUACAUGAUGACACUCCCGAUGACUGAACACUCUCUGGCUGGUCCGUGGUGUGUAUAUGAUGUACUGCACUGUUUCAAGACGGGACUGAUGGCAGC